rnacentral:tRNA from 1 species
GCCUUUAGGGUGUAAUUGGAAGUAUGUUCGACUAGCAGUGGAAUGUCCGGAGUUCGAGUCUCGGUAAGGGCA